AGACCAANCCAACCCCUNAAAACCGGUCCUAGUUCGGAUUGAGGUCUGCAACUCGACCCCAUGAAGCUGGAAUCGCUAGUAAUCGCGGAUCAGCAUGCCGCGGUGAAUACGUUCCCGGGCCUUGUACACACCGCCCGUCACACCACGAAAGGGAUUUGCACCAGAAGUCGCUCCGGCGCCCAAGGUGUGAAUUCUGAUUGGGGUGAAGUCGUAACAAGUUAACC
rnacentral:rRNA from 1 species